GGCGAUGAAGGACGUGCAAGCCUGCGAAAAGCGGGGGGGGAGCUGGCAAUGAAGCUUUGAUCCCCCGAUAUCCGAAUGGGGAAACCCACCUCGCAAGAGGUAUCCCUUGCUGAAUACAUAGGCAAGGGAGGCGAACCCGGCGAACUGAAACAUCUAAGUAGCCGGAGGAAAAUAAAUCAACCGAGAUUCCCCAAGUAGUGGCGAGCGAACGGGGAGCAGCCUGCUAGUGAUAGCGGAAUCGUUAAUGGAACGGAAUGGAAAGUCCGGCCGUAGUGGGUGAUAGCCCCGUACAUGAAAACGAAUCCGUGGUACUAAGUUAGCGAAAAGUAGGGCGGGGCACGUGAAACCUUGUCUGAACAUGGGGGGACCAUCCUCCAAGGCUAAAAUACUCGUGAUCGACCGAUAGUGAACCAGUACCGUGAGGGAAAGGCGAAAAAGAACCCCGGGAGGGGAGUGAAAUAGAUCCUG
rnacentral:rRNA from 1 species